UCUGUAGCAUUGAUAUUUAAAAGAGUCCCUCUAUGCUCAAAAUGGAAACCUGAAAAGAAAGAAUGCAAAUUUUCUCCUUCAUUGUGAGCCUAUGUUCUACAGACACACCCUGCCCCCCUACUGAUGGAACUUUGUUGUCCUGGAGUAUGACAAUAAACUACACCACAGGCUUGAGCUGGUUCAACAUCUAUCAGUGCCUGGUUAGGCCCUCAAAGAAGGUGACAGUUCUCCUCCAUUAUGUGCCUUUUUUCCACUUCAGGCUCCAAGAUUGUCAUUUAAGGCUCUGUCUCCAGUAACUUUUGUCUGUUCUUCAUGCUCCAAAACAUUGAGCACAUGUCAGAUUUCUCAAUAUAAAACAUUUUUUUUCGAUUUGUUUUUCUUCACAUCCAGAAGAAAUGUACUCUGCAAUUUCUACUUCAGUGUUCACCAUCUAUGGGUCUUUUACCAGUGGAUAGAACCGUAGUACUACAAUGUGGUACUACCAUGUGGCUGUACCAUCACAUCAGCACCAUAUACUCUGCAGAUAUGUAGCUUGGGUUUGAGUCAUUUUACUUCACAAGCAGUUUGAUAUUUUUUGCGCUUUAAUUACCUGUAGCUUGGAUGAUGUGAUUAUUCUUCGAGGGGGUGCUUUAUUCAUACUGAUGUUGACGAGUUGUGCUUCUUGUGACACCCGCCUUACGAUGAAUGAUGUACUUAAUCAUCAGCCGUUGAAGUGGUUUGGAACAUGGAGCUUUAAGGACCUGUAGCUGAGAUGAUGUCAUUCACCCAAGGAGGUGGACCGGUGCUUUUGAUGAGACUUGCUUCUUUUGACACCUGUCCGCACGGGGGAUGUACUGAUGUGGUCCUUGAAGCAGUUUGAUACAUGCUGACCUGCAGCUGGGAUGAUCUAAUUUUUCCAAGGAGGUGGCGCUCUGGGAACCUGAUGUUGAUGCGUCUUCAUACUUGUGUUACAUGCAUUACCAUGAGGGAUCUACUUAAUGUGCAACUUUGAUCUAUAAAGGUAAAACUAAAGAUAAUAGUGAUGCUGUAAAUGGGUCGAAACUAUCAGUAUGGAGAAACAAACCAAAACAGGUCAAUAUAUUUUCAAAAAUAUGUUUGUAUAUAUUUUAAAGGCCAAAUAUCUCUUGU